rnacentral:rRNA from 1 species
CCUACGGGAGGCAGCAGUGAGGAAUAUUGGUCAAUGGACGAGAGUCUGAACCAGCCAAGUAGCGUGAAGGAUGACUGCCCUAUGGGUUGUAAACUUCUUUUAUAUGGGAAUAAAACGUUCCACGUGUGGGAUUUUGUAUGUACCAUAUGAAUAAUGAUCGGCUAACUCCGUGCCAGCAGCCGCGGUAAUACGGAGGAUCCGAGCGUUAUCCGGAUUCAUUGGGUUUAAAGGGAGCGUAGGUGGAUUGUUAAGUCAGUUGUGAAAGUUUGGGGCUCAACCGUAAAAUUGCAGUUGAUACUGGCAGUCUUGAGUACAGUAGAGGUGGGCGGAAUUCGUGGUGUAGCAGUGAAAUGCGUAGAUAUCGCGAAGAACUCCGAUUGCGAAGGCAGUUCACUGGACUGCAACUGACACUGAGGCACGAAAGUGUGGGUAUCAAACAGGAUUAGAUACCCGAGUAGUC